AUGGGCUCAAGGACAGCUUGCCUGACUGCAGCCAUAAGGAUGAAGCCUCUUCAGGUAGAGAAGGACUCCAGGUCAUUUGGCCAAUUUAAUGCCGGCAGAAGAGGCCACCAUCUGCAUGUAAUUUAUCUCCUCUUUCAUCUCCUUUCAUUCCCCUCCUCCUUUUUUUUUUUUUUUUGGGACAGAGUCUCACUCUGUUGCCCAGGCUGGAGUGCAGUGGCGUGAUCUUGGCUCACUGCAAGCUUUGCCUCCCAGGCCCACGCCAUUCUCCUGCCUCAGCCUCCUGAGUAGCUGGGACUACAGGCACCCGCCACCAGGCCCAGCUAAUUUUUUGUGUUUUCAGUAGAGACGGGGUUUCACCGUGUCUAUGUGACACUCCAGGAUUUUAGCAGAUAUACAAGUGAAAAACCAUGUUGCUAAAAAGUAUUUCCCAUCUUCCAAUUUUCUUAUCGUCAUCUGGGAAAUAAAAUCUGUAUGUACUUGGGAAUAAAAUUUAUUGAAUUAUC
rnacentral:antisense_RNA from 1 species